rnacentral:tRNA from 1 species
GGAGAGAUGCCCGAGUGGCUAAAGGGGGCAGACUGUAAAUCUGCUGGCUCGCGCCUACGAAGGUUCGAAUCCUUCUCUCUCCACCA